rnacentral:rRNA from 1 species
AGCGAACGCUGGCGGCAGGCCUAACACAUGCAAGUCGAACGAACCUUUCGGGGUUAGUGGCGGACGGGUGAGUAACACGUGGGAACGUGCCUUUAGGUUCGGAAUAUCUCAGGGAAACUUGUGCUAAUACCGAAUGUGCUCUUCCGGGGAAAGAUUUAUAGCCUUUAGAGCGGCCCGCGUCUGAUUAGCUAGUUGGUUGAGGUAAUGGCUCACCAAAGUGUCGAUCAGAAGCUGGUCUGAGAGGAUGAUCAGCCACAUUGGGACUGAGACACGGCCCAAACUCUUACAGAAGGCAGCAGUGGGGAAUCUUGCACAAUGGGCGAAAGCAUGACGCAGCCAUGCCGCGUGAAUGAUGAAGGUCUUAGGAUUGUAAAAUUCUUUCACGGGGGACGAUAAUGACGGUACCCGGAGAAGAAGCCCCGGCUAACUUCGUG